rnacentral:rRNA from 1 species
UACGUAGGGUGCAAGCGUUAAUCGGAAUUACUGGGCGUAAAGCGUGCGCAGGCGGUUGUGUAAGACGGAUGUGAAAUCCCCGGGCUUAACCUGGGAAUUGCAUUUGUGACUGCACGACUAGAGUGUGUCAGAAAAAAAUGGAAUUCCACGUGUAGCAGUGAAAUGCGUAGAUAUGUGGAGGAACACCAAUGGCGAAGGCAGCCCCCUGGGAUAACACUGACGCUCAUGCACGAAAGCGUGGGGAGCAAACAGG